rnacentral:tRNA from 1 species
AGAGGAAUUGGUCAACUCAUCAGGCUCAUGACCUGAAGACUGCAGGUUCGAAUCCUGUCCCCGCCU